GACGAACGCUGGCGGCGUGCUUAAUACAUGCAAGUCGAGCGAGGUCCAUCUGGUGGCAACACCAGUGAAGGCCGAGCGGCGAACGGGUGAGUAACACGUGAGCAACCUGCCCCGAAGUCUGGAAUAACAUCGGGAAACCGGUGCUAAUACCGGAUCGCCCCACCUGACCGCAUGAUCGGGUGAGGAAAGAUUUAUCGCUUCGGGGAGGGGCUCGCGGCCUAUCAGCAGUUGGUGGGGUAACGGCCUACCAAGGCAUCGACGGGUAGCUGGUCUGAGAGGACGACCAGCCACACUGGGACUGAGACACGGCCCAGACUCCUACGGGAGGCAGCAGUAGGGAAUCUUGCGCAAUGGGCGAAAGCCUGACGCAGCAACGCCGCGUGGGGGAUGACGG
rnacentral:rRNA from 1 species